rnacentral:rRNA from 1 species
AUAAGCGGAGGAAAAGAAACCAACAGGGAUUGCCUCAGUAACGGCGAGUGAAGCGGCAACAGCUCAAAUUUGAAAUCUGGCCCCCCGGGUCCGAGUUGUAAUUUGCAGAGGAUGCUUUUGGCGCGGUGCCUUCCGAGUUCCCUGGAACGGGACGCCAUAGAGGGUGAGAGCCCCGUACGGUUGGACACCAAGCCUGUGUAAAGCUCCUUCGACGAGUCGAGUAGUUUGGGAAUGCUGCUCAAAAUGGGAGGUAUAUUUCUUCUAAAGCUAAAUACCGGCCAGAGACCGAUAGCGCACAAGUAGAGUGAUCGAAAGAUGAAAAGCACUUUGAAAAGAGGGUUAAACAGCACGUGAAAUUGUUAAAAGGGAAGCGCUUGUGACCAGACUUGCGCCCGGUGAAUCACCCAGCUCUCGCGGCUGGGGCACUUUGCCGGCUCAGGCCAGCAUCAGCUCGCCGUCGGGGACAAAAGCUUCGGGAACGUAGCUCUCUUCGGGGAGUGUUAUAGCCCGCUGCACAAUACCCUUCGGCGGGCUGAGGUACGCGCUCCGCAAGGAUGCUGGCGUAAUGGUCAUCAGCGACCCGUCUUGAAACACGGACCAAGGAGUCAACCUUAUGUGC